rnacentral:rRNA from 1 species
UAAUGAGGGAAGGAAAAGAAACUAACUAGGAUUUUCUUAGUAGCGGCGAGCGAAAAGAAAUCUAGUUCAGCACUGAGUUAUUUUGUUAUUUUAACAAAUAUAAGAUGCAGUGUAUGGAAUAUCUAUAAUCUAGUAUGAUAAAUUAACAGUUUAAGUCCUUCUUAAACGAGGCCAUUUACCCAUAGAGGGUGCCAGGCCCGUAUGACGUUAAUGAUUACUAGAAGAUAUUUCCUAAGAGUCGUGUUGCUUGAUAGUGCAGCACUAAUUGGGUGGUAAACUCCAUCUAAAACUAAAUAUAACCAUAAGACCGAUAGCAAACAAGUACCGUGAGGGAAAGUUGAAAAGAACUCUGAAUAGAGAGUUAAAUAGUACGUGAAACUGCUUAGAGGUUAAGCCCGAUGAACCUGAAUAUCCAAUAUGAAAAAUUCAUCAUUAAUAAUAUAUUAAAAUUAUAUUAAUAUAUGAAUAAUGUGCACUUUUUUCAUAUAAGGACAUUGUAAUCUGUUAAUAUAUUAAAAUUUAUCAUAAGUUCCGCUUGAAUAGAUUAUGUUUUAUUAUAAUUUACUUUAUAAUAUACAUAAAAUUCAAUUUAAAUGCGGUAACAGAUAAAUUAUUGACAGAUUUUUAUAUAUAACGCUUUAUAUAUAUUUUUUAUAUGUUAUAAUGUUAUUGUAAUCAAUGUAUUACUAUUUCUAUUAUAUGCGUUUAUAUGAUUAACAAUGCUAUAGAUUUAGGAUACCUUCGGGACCCGUCUUGAAACACGGACCAAGGAGUCUAACAUGUGUGCAAGUCAUUGGAUAUAUAAAAUCUAAAGGCGUAAUUAACUUAACUGUUUUAUAUAUGGGAUCAAUUAUAUAUAUAAUUUAUAUAUAUUCCAUCCCGGGGCGUUCUAUAUAGUUAUACAUUUUAAUAUAUUUUAUAUAUUAUUUAUGUCCCUAACUGGAGCGUACCUUGAGCAUAUAUGUUGUGACCCGAAAGAUGGUGAACUAUACCUGAUCAGGUUGAAGUCAGGGGAAACCCUGAUGGAGGACCGAAGCAGUUCUGACGUGCAAAUCGAUUGUCAGAAUUGGGUAUAGCGGCGUAAGACUAAUCGAACCAUCUAGUAGCUGGUUCCCUCCGAAGUUUCCCUCAGGAUAGCUGGUGCAUUUAAUUAUUAUUUAAAAUAAUCUUAUCUGGUAAAGCGAAUGAUUAGAGGCCUUAGGGCCGAAACGACCUUAACCUAUUCUCAAACUUUAAAUGGGUAAGAACCUCACCUUUCUUGAUAUGAAGGUCGAGGUUGUGAUAUAUUGUGCCCAGUGGGCCACUUUUGGUAAGCAGAACUGGCGCUGUGGGAUGAACCAAACGUGAUGUUAAGGCGCCCAAAUUAACAACUCAUACUGAUACCAUGAAAGGCGUUGCUUGCUUAAAACAGCAGGACGGUGGACAUGGAAGUCGUAAUCCGCUAAGGAGUGUGUAACAACUCACCUGCCGAAGCAACUAGCCCUUAAAAUGGAUGGCGCUCAAGUUGUAUGCCUAUACAUCACCGCUAAAAUAUAUGAUUUAUAGAACUUGUUUUCUAUAAAUUUUGAAAUUUUAGUGAGUAGGAGGGUACAAUGGUGUGCGUAGAAGUGUUUGGUGUAAACCUGCAUGGAGCCGCCAUUGGCACAGAUCUUGGUGGUAGUAGCAAAUAAUCGAAUGAGACCUUGGAGGACUGAAGUGGAGAAGGGUUUCGUGUGAACAGUGGUUGAUCACGAGUUAGUCGGUCCUAAGUUCAAGGCGAAAGCCGAAAAUUGUAAGUUAAUUAUAUGAUAAAAUCAUAUUAUUAUUAAUUAUAUACACUUACAUAUUUUUGAACGAAAGGGAAUACGGUUCCAAUUCCGUAACCUGUUGAGUAUACGUUUGUUAUUAAAAAUGGGCUUUUAUGCUCAUCCUGGUAACAGAAACAACCAUAAAGAAGCCGUCGAGAAAUAUCGAAAGAGUUUUCUUUUCUGUUUUAUAGUCGUACUACCAUGGAAGUCUUUCGAAGAGAGAUAUGGUAGAUGGACUAGAAGAGCAUGGCAUUUACUGCUGUGUCGAUAUUUUCUCCUCGGACCUUGAAAAUUUAUGGUGGGGUCACGCAAAACUUCUUAACAGGCCGUACCGAUAUCCGCAGCUGGUCUCCAAGGUGAAGAGUCUCUAGUCGAUAGAAUA